UACGGGGGGGGCAAGCGUUGUUCGGAAUUACUGGGCGUAAAGGGCUCGUAGGCGGCCAACUAAGUCGGACGUGAAAUCCCUCGGCUUAACCGGGGAACUGCGUCCGAUACUGGAUGGCUUGAGGUUGGGAGAGGGAUGCGGAAUUCCAGGUGUAGCGGUGAAAUGCGUAGAGAUCAUGAGGAAGACCAGUGGCGAAGGCGGGUCUCUGGACAGUUCCUGACACUGAGACACGAAGGCCAGGGGAGCAAACGGG
rnacentral:rRNA from 1 species